GUUUUGCUUAAAAUAAUUUGGUCAAACAAAAUAAGAACACCAUAGUUCAUUUUGGAAGGUUCUGUAAUGGCGACUGCUAGGAUUGUACCCCUAAAAGCCCUCGUACAUGGAGUUUCACCAUGGAAUCCGCUCUCACGAGUCCUCCGGCUCCGUUCUCGUCCUCUAUACUCCGCCGUACGAGAUUAUUCCGCCGCCAUUUCGCCGCCUUCUAAGGCCGUUGUCUACGAUCAACACGGCUCUCCUGAUGUUGUCACUAGAGUGACGGAGCUUCCGCCGGUGGAAAUUAAAGACAAUGAUGUGUGCGUUAGAAUGCUUGCGGCUCCGAUUAAUCCUUCUGAUAUUAAUAGAAUUGAAGGAGUUUAUCCUGUCCGACCACCGUUGCCUGCAGUUGGGGGAUAUGAAGGUGUUGGAGAAGUACAUGCCAUUGGCUCUGCAGUUAAGGGUCUUUCCCCGGGAGAUUGGGUUAUCCCUUCCCCACCUUCUUCAGGGACAUGGCAGACAUACGUUGUAAAAGAACAAAGUGUGUGGCAGAAAGUUGAUAAAAGCACCCCAAUGGAGUAUGCUGCGACUGUUUUUGUCAAUCCGUUGACUGCCUUGAGAAUGCUUGAGGACUUUAUUGCAUUAAAAUCAGGGGACACUAUUGUGCAAAAUGGUGCUACAAGCAUAGUGGGGCAAUGUGUUAUUCAACUAGCUCGACUCCGUGGGAUUCAUAGCAUCAAUAUCAUUAGAGACAGGGCAGGAUCAGAUGAAGCAAAAGCCCAUCUCAAGCAACUAGGUGCUGAUGAAGUGUAUACUGAAAGCCAACUGGAAGUGAAGAAUGUCAGAGGUCUUCUGGGCAAUAUACCUGAACCUGUUUUAGGCUUUAAUUGUGUUGGUGGCAAUGCUGCUUCAUUGAUCCUAAAAUUCUUGAAGCAGGGUGGCACUAUGGUGACAUAUGGGGGGAUGUCAAAGAAACCGAUAACUGUAUCUACUUCGGCUUUUAUAUUCAAGGAACUUACCUUGACAGGAUUCUGGCUACAGAGGUGGAUGAGUUCAGACAAAGCUGAAGAGCAUCAAUCCAUGAUAGACUAUCUUUUGGGCCUAUGUCGAGAUGGGAAAUUGAAAUACGAGUUGGAAGUAUCACCUUUUGAUGAUUUUCAUACAGCUCUGGAAAAGGCAAUGGGAAAGCGAGGAAGACAACCCAAACAAGUUCUUAAAUUCUAAGUCAUGGGUACUUUUAACAUUAUUCUAAUUUGAGUGCUGUAAUCAUAAGCUUUGUUGUUAGAUCAAGCCAGUUUAGGUAAAUGUAUCCCCAAGAAAUAAUAAGACAAUUGGCAGUGCCACUCGUUAUGGCAUCUGUUCUCCUUUCUCAAAAGAGGUUCAUU
rnacentral:misc_RNA from 1 species